rnacentral:rRNA from 1 species
UACGUAGGUGGCAAGCGUUGUCCGGAUUUACUGGGCGUAAAGGGCGCGUAGGCGGCCGCCUAAGUCAGACGUGAAAUCCCUCGGCUCAACCGGGGAACUGCGUCUGAUACUGGGUGGCUUGAAUUCGGGAGAGGGAUGCGGAAUUCCAGGUGUAGCGGUGAAAUGCGUAGAUAUCUGGAGGAACACCGGUGGCGAAGGCGGCAUCCUGGACCGAGAUUGACGCUGAGGCACGAAAGCCAGGGGAGCAAACGGG